AAAUGUAAUGGUUUUAGAAGUCAUAAAUAUAUAAUUUAUUAUAUAAGUAGU
rnacentral:tRNA from 1 species